rnacentral:rRNA from 1 species
UACGUAGGGUCCGAGCGUUGUCCGGAAUUAUUGGGCGUAAAGAGCUCGUAGGCGGUCCGUUAAGUCGGAAGUGAAAUCUCAAGGCUCAACCUUGAAAUCGCUUUCGAUACUGUCGGACUUGAGGCAGGUAGGGGAAGGUGGAAUUCCUGGUGUAGCGGUGAAAUGCGCAGAUAUCAGGAGGAACACCGGUGGCGAAGGCGGCCUUCUGGGCCUGUUCUGACGCUGAGGAGCGAAAGCGUGGGGAGCAAACAGG